UACGUAGGGUGCGAGCGUUAAUCGGAAUUACUGGGCGUAAAGCGUGCGCAGGCGGUUUGUUAAGCCAGAUGUGAAAGCCCCGGGCUCAACCUGGGAACUGCGUUUGGUACUGGCAAGCUAGAGUACGGCAGAGGGGGGUGGAAUUCCACGUGUAGCAGUGAAAUGCGUAGAGAUGUGGAGGAACACCGAUGGCGAAGGCAGCCCCCUGGGUGAACACUGACGCUCAGGCACGAAAGCGUGGGGAGCAAACAGG
rnacentral:rRNA from 1 species